rnacentral:rRNA from 1 species
UACGUAGGGUGCAAGCGUUAAUCGGAAUUACUGGGCGUAAAGCGUGCGCAGGCGGUGAUGUAAGUCAGAUGUGAAAUCCCCGGGCUUAACCUGGGAACUGCGUUUGUGACUGCAAGACUCGAGUACGGCAGAGGGGGGUGGAAUUCCACGUGUAGCAGUGAAAUGCGUAGAGAUGUGGAGGAACACCGAUGGCGAAGGCAGCCCCCUGGGUCGAUACUGACGCUCAUGCACGAAAGCGUGGGGAGCAAACAGG